UACGUAGGGUGCAAGCGUUGUCCGGAAUUACUGGGCGUAAAGCGCGCGUAGGCGGCUUUGUACGUCAGAGGUGAAAGCCUGGAGCUCAACACCAGAACUGCCUUUGAAACGACAUCGCUAGAAUCAUGGAGAGGUUAGUGGAAUUCCGAGUGUAGAGGUGAAAUUCGUAGAUAUUCGGAAGAACACCAGUGGCGAAGGCGACUAACUGGACAUGUAUUGACGCUGAGGUGCGAAAGCGUGGGGAGCAAACAGG
rnacentral:rRNA from 1 species